UACGUAGGGUGCAAGCGUUAAUCGGAAUUACUGGGCGUAAAGCGUGCGCAGGCGGUUGUGCAAGACAGAUGUGAAAUCCCCGGGCUCAACCUGGGAAUGGCGCUUGAAACUACGGUGCUGGAGUGUGGCAGAGGGAGGUGGAAUUCCCGGUGUAGAGGUGAAAUUCGUAGAUAUCGGGAGGAACACCUGUGGCGAAGGCGGCCAUCUGGACGUCAACUGACGCUGAGACGCGAAAGCCAGGGGAGCGAACGGG
rnacentral:rRNA from 1 species